rnacentral:rRNA from 1 species
UACGUAGGGUGCGAGCGUUGUCCGGAAUUAUUGGGCGUAAAGAGCUCGUAGGCGGUGUGUCGCGUCGGUCGUGAAAACUCAGGGCUUAACCCUGAGCCUGCUUCCGAUACGGGCAGACUAGAGGUAUGCAGGGGAGAAUGGAAUUCCUGGUGUAGCGGUGAAAUGCGCAGAUAUCAGGAGGAACACCGGUGGCGAAGGCGGUUCUCUGGGCAUUACCUGACGCUGAGGAGCGAAAGUGUGGGGAGCGAACAGG